ensembl:lncRNA
AUAUUAUGUACAGUCCUUGUAUCCACACAUUCAUACUUUCAUUCAUUGCAGCGGGGAGGAGUGAGAGUGACUAAACAAGGAUAAAACCAACCAGCUAUCCCAAAUAUCUCUUCCACUGGCUCGUGUGAAUCAUUUUAAAUUGACAGAUUUGUGGAAUUAUUGUUCUCAUCAGCCACUUCCACCUCAAACACUUCGACGAGAGACUCUACUUCAGAGUCAGUCCCACGAAGAAAACCUCUUUGUCUUAAUCUUUUAUCCACAACAGGACACACACGCCAUGCAUUACGCUGUGGUCUGCUGCAUGCUUGGCUGGGAUACGCCUUCUGCAUCUGUCUUCUGUGUCCUUGUGUCCGUCUGCCUCGUUAGAUCAAAGCUAUUCAUUAUCAGCACUCACAAACACACACACACACGCACACAAACGCACACGUACAGCAACCUGAUCAUCGGCGUCUUAUUUGCAGACUUCUUCUGACACAAGAUCGCCACGCUACCUUGAACACCAUAAUUAUAUAAUUAUAUAAUGAUUAUAUAAUUGUCAGUGACACACACACACUCUGGUACACAGAGUGUGAUUACAGGUAAGAGGAGCUAAGAGGUGCAGCAGGUGGCUGCUAUAUCAUAUUCUGAACCAAACUCAUAGGGAAGACCUCCGGAGCUGCUCCAUCAUCAUUCAAUGCGGCAUGCAGCUCCCACAAACAUAUACUCAGAUUUCUAUCCAGACAACUGCCACUAGAGGUUACCUGAGAAUGCACGUAGAUCAUAAGCCGCCUGUGCUGUUGUUUCUUAAUUAUGACCUUUAACGUUAGCCGUUAGCCGCUUGCCUGGUUACACGGUGUGUAAUAUGCCCCUAUGUCUAUAGAAUUAAAAAGAUAUCACGCAUAGACGUUCCUAUUUUUCCCGUUUGAGAGGGUGGCAAUGGUUGAUGCAUCUCCAAUUACCGCCGGAUUUUUGGAUUUAAUUUAUACAGCAGAUUACCACAUAUAAAUAAAAUAAAGCAAAUAUGCCGCCUAGUAGUUAAAAAGAUGAUAACUUGAAAAUAUGUCCUUUACCACUUCUUUUUCCUAAUUGUUGCAGGUGUGUAUUUUUUAAUCAAUAGGGCACAUAAAUAUUAUUCAGGCUCAAUUUGGCUCGGACCAACUGAUAUUAUUUAAACUCCAUAAAUCCAUCAUACGCAUCACAAGGGUCAUCAAGGGGAAUUCAGGUGUAUUAACAUGUGCAAAGAACCCCAGCAGUACCAGUAAGAUGCUGUAAAGAGGAAACACAGUCAUGCACACACACACACACACACACACACACACACACACACACACACACACACACACACACACACACACACACAGACCACAGUGGUGAAAGGGGGGUUGAGGCCACACUGGGAGUGCCAAGUGGUCUGUGGUGAGUGGCUCGCCACAAUGUUGGACCGGCCCGAACACACAGACACACUGUGGGAUUGUAAAAAACCCAAAUAAAAGAUGUGUGUUUGUGUGGGAUUAAAAAGUCCACCAGACUCCAGCCCACGCUCCUCUCUGCUCUCAGUACAGCAUUCACUACAUUUCCCAGAAUUCUGUAUUUAGACAAAGGCAAUUAAAUCAGUUUUUCUACCAUCCCAAGAUGCUACUGAUGACGCUCCACUUCUAGAAGAGAGAAGGCGAUCUACGGUACCCCAUCAGCCACAGGGACAAGAUGGGGUUCAGGGUUCUUGCUGUUUGCGUUUCCUCAGGCGAGUUCUGGCAGGGACUUCAGGUAUUACUGGAAUAUCCAGUUGUUAGCAAAUCACACAUCUGCUUUCAAUAUUCUCUGAGCUGCUACCAGCUAAUUGAUGAGCCAAGGAUCGGCUUUAAUGGCAACCACCAACUGGUGCUGCUGUAAAUUAAAGACGAUACGCACACACUUCUAGGCAUGUACACACACACACACACACACACACACACACACACACACACACACACACACAGACACACACACACACACACACACACACAUUUCCAGAAACACAAACAUCAGAGCUUGGUUUUAUGAAACAAUCAGGGUUUAUAAGCUUAUUUAAAGCAAUGUUCAUUGUUUCCCAUUCCUUUCCCUGUCUCUGUCUCCCUGUUCCCUUCAACCCAACUAAAGUCAGGGAUGAGUCUUACUCAUCCCUGACUUUAGUAAACACACUGGUUGUGAUGCAGAGAAACACAUGUAUUUCAUAUCCAUGUGUAUGUUGACUCAUGCUGCAGGCACAAUAAUGUCGGCUAACGGUUGUUGAGCUGUGUGAUUCAUCCCGUGUGUGACUCUCCUUCGCAGCAUGGAUUGGGUUUGCAGGGACACCUACAGGAGAAAAAGGACAUGGCAGUGUCAUAUGUCAACGAUGACUCCCAUUACGGAAACAAGAUGGACAAAUAAAACCCUGAAACAAACAAACAUGACAGGAGUCAAGCUUUCUUUGUUCUUGUUAGGGGGCAGAAUUAAUUCUCAAUACUCCAGUGAUCAGCAAAGUAUGAGUCCAGUGCGGUAUGAGCGGAAUAUGAUUCAUACAUAUACAGAACAAAUCUGUACUGAGAGUGUAGACAUGUAGUAGAAGAUCUAAAUGUGUCAUAAAUGUGACAACGUGCGGAUAUCUCUGAAUGUGUGUUAAUGUUUUGACGUAUGUAUUCAUAAACGACCUCAUCUCUGGUACUGCUGUUAUUUUACUGUAUUGUAUAGUAGUGUGUUGUACUAUAGUGUUUGCUGUUAAAUUGUUCAAAUAGUAUUAGAUUGCUAAUUUUGAAUAACCUGCCCAGAGACCAAAGAACAAUAUGAGCUCUAAUUCUGAAAUGUGACUCACUGUCCCGGUCAAUAGAUAAUAAAUCGAAUAAAAAAAAUAUAGAUUAGAACAAGUUAGUUGCUGAGUUGAAGCUGACAGCUGUCCAGAUUUUCGUCGGCCAUUCAUGUUUUAAAUAUUUGUUUACACAUUUACAGUGUAAAUACAUUGGCCAAUGUGAGGAUAGAUCUUUACAAAUUUACUAAUUAUUUCAAUCCACAAAAAAAGUCAAACUUGAUGUAUUUGACAAGUAGUUUAUGUACUUCUAUCGUCAUGGCAACCCAAACAGUGAUGGCUGAAUAGUUUUGUCUAAAGUUAGUUAUUAGAAACGAAUGUCAUAUACAGAAGUUGACACUGGUUUUCAAAGUACACACAAUUAAUUCUUAUAAAAAUAUUUUAACGGGACGUUUCAACAAUUGUCACUAGUAAGAAUUCCAAUCUCACAUAAUGUUAUAUUUACAACGAAGAAACAUACAAUGAAAUUCUCUUUAGAUAGAAUGUCAAUAACGAAGCCUGAAGCAUGAAUGAAUCAACCACAGAGAUCGUGGAAAUGUUGGUUGUAGAUAUCUGUAACCAUAAAAACCAUUUGGGGCUUUUUUCCGGCCUGCGCGUAUCUUGAAGCUCUAGUCUACGUUUUUACUUGUGCAUUGAUGUAAAUGUGUUUUUUCCAUAUCUGGGCUGAGUGCAGUGAGCUCCUCAACCCAUUCGGUUCACACAGGAAGAAGAGAAUAACUCUGAAUGUGUGCCUAUUGUGAGCACUGACAGUUAUAUGAUGCAGGAUGAAGGGCAAACAACACAAAACAACAGCAGCACAAAGACACGCGUGUGUGUGUGUGUGUGUGUGUGCGCGCAACCACAGACAGCAUGUCUCUGUGUCUGCCGCUACUCUAAUAAAUUCUGCGCUGUUGUUUUUCCACUAAUACAACUCCUGGAACAAUCAAAUAUAUUGACCAACACGCACACACACACACACACACACACACACACACACACACACGCACACACACAAAGAGACACGUCUGCGCUGUCAUGCACUUGAGAUGUGUAUUGGUUGAGGUCUCUCCAAUUGGUCCGAUAUGCAACAUUAUCUGGUCACAUACUGGCUCCACUAAGAUCACACACACACACACACACACACACACACACACACACACACAUACUUUAUUAUUUAAAGACAAACAGUGAUGUACAGAUGCACACUUGGAUAUACACAAGAAGUGCGGAACAGUAGACACAGACACACACACACACACACACACACACUGACAUCCAGUACACACCCGCCCCAGCUCUGCGUCUGCUGGUCUAGGCCCAUUGAUCCCAGGUUCGGUGCCACAGAGCUUUGAAGCCAAUGCUGAUAAGAAAUACCCACACACAUACAAAUACACACACGAAACACAGACUCCAGCCGUAACGGUUGCAUUUGUAAUCGUUUCCAAUGAUGAUUUCUCUGGAACAAUUGAUGCCUCGCUUUGUUCACACAAAAAGAGCUUUCUUGAUGACUUUUUGUUGACGUUUUUUCACAGCUGUCACUAUGAAAUCUUUUUUGUUCUCGUUUACAUUCUGGUCCCAAUGACCUUGGGACCGGUACGACACUGCCAGAAGAUUUAGAAAUCGAAAAAUACAGGAAUUUGAAUUUGACUUCUCCGUACCGAGAUCCGUUAUAUGGAGUUUCUAUUUUUUCAAUGCACAUUAAGCACUGAGCGAAUUUUAGUAUUAGAUUAGCUGCUUGGACACCACUUUUACUGGACCCCAGGGUGAACUUUUCUCAGAGCACAACUUACAGCAGUGUUUCUGAUUGCAAUACUGUCUGUCCUCACAUGGAGGAGGGAGUGAAGACCGAGAGACUGAUGGCAUCACUCCUGUCCCCCCCUGUCCGUCCACCCACCCCUCCCCCAGGGACAACUGGAACCCUUUUAAGGCUUGUCUUUCUCUCUCUCCCUUCGCUAUCUCCCCCUCCCUCUCUCUGUCUCCCUAUCAGGCAGCGGGUUCUGCAGUCGAUAGGGCCAUUAGUAAAUAACAGAUACAUAAUUUAUUAAAUAUCGUUAGAUACAUAUUUCAGCAUCAAAUUACCUGGCAUGGUAGAGAAGGGGGGAGAGUGAAUAAGUAAGAGAGGACAUGCGGGAGAACAGUGAAAGAGACAUGGAUAUUUAAAUACUGUAUAUAUAGAGAAUAAACCUGUGUGUGUGUGUGUGUGUGUGUGUAUGUAUAUAUAUAUAUGUGUGUAUAUAAAAGUGAAUAUGCAUAUUUUGGUCUACUUUGAACUUAAAAUCAAAAGUAAAUGAAUGAAAAUUAAUUUUUCUAACAUUCUUUUUAAUAUCUUUAAAAUAUCGUUCAUAUAAUGUUCUCAUAUGCAGUAUACUAACUACAUGACAAUUGUCCUAAAUAGAUAAAAUUGAGUUGUGUUUUCCUCCAAAACACCUCCAAAAAUUUCCUCCAAAAUGCAGCUAGAAGCUCUUUUUACGAGCCCCCCUCUAUCUGGUGAAUGCCCCCAUCAUCCAAUCCUGACAGCUAAAGCUUGUAACGCAGACCCUCGGAGUCAGAGACACAACAGAAUGAGCAACCCUGUGGGCCACAUUGAGUUGUCACUAAGACGUUUAGGUAUGAGACAGUCCCUGUGAGAUAUUUAACUGAAAAUGUAUUAAAACAAGGUUACCUCCAACCAAAUGACGGUGUGAGGCCUCUAGAAGAUGGAUGUCAGCUGUAGGAAGGUGGAGCCAGGGGGGCCCAAUCAGUAGAGGGCCCUCUACUGUCUGCCAGAGGACCACUAGGGUAGCCUGUGGGACAACAGAUUGUCCUUCAACGUGAGACGAGCCACCACUCGCUAACACACCCACGCUGCAGGAGUAGAGUUCACCUCAGCUCCACCAGAGGUCACGUCUGAAGUCAGAGAGAAAAGUUUUACGAAGAAAAAAGUUCCUAUGAUGGUAGAAAGAUGAUAAGCCCGCGGUUCAUUGCACACACCUUUGCAUCUGUUGGACCUCCACUGCAGCCCCCCCCAUCCCCUUCACCUACUAAUAUGUGAAUUUUUAUUCACAUUUGAUGCCACAUAAGAUGAAAAUCGAUGAGGUAAUCAAGUCUCCGGGGCGUUUUGCAUAUUUGCUGCCGCUCACAUCAUUAAAAACACAUCCAUCGUCGCCAUCGCCACCGACCGGCCUUUAAUUAGUUUGAGCAAACAUAUUGAGCCGUGUCUCUCACACACACACACACAGUCCAACUAACACGUUGAACUCUGAGGAUGUCUGCUUUGCAAUAAUGCUGAAUCGGUAUAAUUUUCCCAGAAGUGCUGCGUUUGUUGUGACAGAAAGGGAUAGCAAGCUGAUGUGUGUCCAAAGGUCACCUGAGGUCAACUGUCUAAUCUGGCCUGAAAUUCAAGAGUUGUAAAGGCCUCGCUGUUUGGAAUAUUACAAUGAAUAAACAAACUUGAUCUCCAAAAAAGCAUAUGAAUCAAGGUCGGAAAGUUAUGAUCAGCUCUUUAAUUCCAAAGUGAUUUCGAAUUCAAAAGUGUGCGUGUUUUCCUAAAAAACGUAUUCCUUGUGUCAAUGCACCCUCAUGCAACAGCAUGAUCUUUUUAAAAGAAGCAUCCGUCUUAGCAAAGGAGAUCAGAACCUGUUCAUGCAAAGAAACUACUUGGUUAGGUCUUGUAGUUUGGGUUAAAAUAAGCAUUUUAAUGUGUGGCAAAAUAAAAAAAUGGUUUUACACAGGACAGGAUUUCUGUCUCCAGGGUGAGAGUCCUGUGUUUGUUGGAGCUGUUAGCAGCUCUUUAUACUACAUCACCUGACUUAGCACUGUCCUAUUCUGCGUUAACAGAAUAAUAACGGCAAAAGGUCAGGGGCGACUGUGACUCAGUGGUGGAGCACGGCCAUCCUUCAUUCAGAGGAGCGGCUGUUCGAUCCCCAGCUCCGUGGGGAAGACAUGUAAAUUCAAUCCAAAAGUGCUCCCGUAGCUGUGACCACGGUAGCUGGUGUGUGAAUGUUUAGUUACGGAUGGGUGGUAACUGUCAUGAUUCAUGGUAUGAAUGAGUGAUUGAUGCCAUGUGGUGUUGAAGAGCUUUGAGUUUAUGUAUUUAUUUACGCCUAUAGACACACACAUAGUUGCUGCAUUGCUACUGGAAGCGACUCAGUGGGGACACUAGCGUAGCGCUGUGGAAUCCUCCCAUAUGAACACAGUGCCAGGGCGUACUGAGCCAGGUCAUGAAUCAGCAUUGGUGCUUAUUAACUUGGGUUAUUUUUGAGCUACUCAAACGUCUCUUAAUUGAAGGAAACAACAUGUACAUAACACGGUGAAGUCCUAACCAGCGAUAAAACACAGGAUCGGUUAUAACACUAAAACAAGACGAUAAAACAAAAAAAUGUAUGUCUUGGACUCAAUACAAUUUAACAGCACAGAGCAUCCUAAUGUGUAAAUUUACUUAUUUUGAGUGCGUCCAUGAAAAUGUGUGUGUGUGUGUGUAUGUGUGUGUGAUAAGAGGACAGUUAAUGAUUACACUGUGAUUAGAUUUGGAUCAGGAACAUGGUGGAUGUAUUACCUGCAUUAGGUUGAAGUUCAAAGUUCAAAGGCCACAUUUCCCCGCCGUACAUUAUCUACGCCAUAAAUCUUAGGUAGGUAAAGUAUUCUUGCACUAUUUAUUGUUCCCUUCAGAGUGAGAGACAGGGACGCUUUGUUUGAGGUGAAACUUUUCUCGUUUUUUUUCCUGGUUCAUUCUAGUGGAGCUGGAUUGAGGAAGUUUUAUAAUUAAUAACCCCAACUUAAGGUUUGUUGGAUGUUAUUGGUUUCUAUGGUAUUCAUUAUGGUAAUACCCUUUCCUUUUCCUAUGGAUGGUCUAUAAUUGAAUAGUACUGUCAUGCAAUUUCCAAAUAUAUACUUGGUUUGAUUUUUAACACAUGUGAUGUACUGUAACCUUAACCAGUCAAAUAUUAUCUUCUUGUGCAAUUAGCAAAUGUUAGCAUUUAGCUCAGAGCUCCACAGUGUGUGCACAGUAUGACAAGUUGAUGUUCUAAAGUGUUGCUUGUGUAAAGGACAACUUAUCUCCAUAUGUUCUCUUAGGUGUUGAGAAAACAAUAUUCUAAAAAUACAAAAUAAAAGUCUUUAAAAGAAAGUAAAAUAACUCUUAGUUAUCAUGUUGUCUUUUUCUCUGGUCAGGAAAAGUGACAAAGCAACAAAGCUGUAAAGUCAGCAUUUAGAAAAAGUGGGCAGUCUGGUGUCCUAGAAACAUGAAGAUACUUAAAAAAUGUCUGAUAUGAAGCAAAUAAAGAAAAAGCGGCAUUAAAGCUGGUCUAUGUCCUCCCCUCCUUCUAUCCAUCCAUACCUCCCCUCCACAACAUGCAUCCCUGGUAGAAUAUUUAUGUGUGUGUGUGUGUGUGUGUGUGUGUGUGUGUGUGUGUGUGUGUGUGUGUGUGUGUGUGCGAGUCUCCAUUGAUCCCCUGUCAUCCUGAUCGCAUUACAACCCCCCUCCGAUUAGAUCUACAUUUUUAAUUUUCCUUCAUGGAUGACAAAAAAUGACGUGAGCGCAGGAAGGAGUGAUGGAGGAGUGAGAGGAGAGUCCUAGAUGUGGAGUAAAGAGGGGGAGGUCAGCGUAGGUCAGCUUAGAGAGACCAGUGCACAGUUAGGCUGAUUUUAAACCCAACAUGUGUUUAGUUCAGUUACCUGUUACUCGUAUUAGCCCCAUUAGCUAGCUGUUAGCUCUUCUCCUCAGACAACAACUAACUGAACCAAACACAUGUUGAGUGACAAUGAUUUCACCCAUCAUGCAACAUCGUCACCUAACAUGCAUUUAGUUCAGUUCGCUGUCAGCUCUUUUAGCCUCAUUAGCCCCAUUAGCUGUUAGUUCUGCUGGUUAGCAAACCAGUUCUCUUACGCCAUGAGCAGACUCUCCCCCAGAUGGAGUCAUACAUGUGCAGGCUCCACUGACUGUGUCACGAGGAUCAUGGGUUCAAUGGCUUCUUGAAACAGUCAAUAAAAUCCCCACAACCUCCAGAUGUCCUCAAGCAUCAGAUCCUCAGUGGGCACAAAAAUAUGAAGAUGAUGGAGCAGCAGUGUGCGAGAUCACAAAGGACAGAGGGACACAGAGACACACACAUACACACAGACACGCACGUGACUACAUUAUUUCCUAGCAGAAGACACAUACGCAUCAAGGUUCAUUGCUUCACCGCAAAAAAACUUGUCUGUCAGGGUAAAUGAUUUGGACAUUUUAUCCCAAAUGUCCUGGAAAAUAGUUUUGCUUUCCUAUUCUCCAAUGAACUGCUUUUUGGAUAAUGUCCUCAUUCAAAGGUCCAGAGCAUCGUUAAUGUUUAACUUGUAAUUAGGGGUCAGCAUUACUGAAAUAGCCUUUUUGUUGUAUUAACAAGUAAAACAAAAAUACAUACAGUAGUAUUUUAGAAAAAUGUAAUUAACUGAUUAGAUUUUGCUUUGCAUCUUUAAAUUCAGUUUAUUCGGGUGAGAAGUGAUGUCAACAAAUAUGUUAUAUUCAUCUCAUUCUUCUUAGAGAAAUGUGUUCGUAGGAACUUCAUCUUUGAUUAUGGAACGCCCUUGUUUCAGCUCUAGUCCCCUCUGUUAAUAUAAUUGUUAACUAAAUUCAUUUUUUAGGAUUAUAACCAUUAUUGUGCUCUUAGAUUUAUUUUUGCUACGUCUUCAUUUCAGUUAUGGGUGGGUACGUUUGCUCAGAAGAGUUGUUCUCCGUCUCUUUGGUUGGGAUUCAGAUUGGAGCGGCUAAUCAUCAUCAUGGUCUAUGAAGAUAUGCAACAUACUGGUUUUAAACUGAAUCAACAUUCAUAUUUAUUCUUGGUAGAAGGUUGUGGUCUCUCUGACCUCAUUCCUCUUUUUGGAGAAGGCCAUUGUAAAUAUUAUUGUAUUAUGUUCAAUCCAAUCAUUUUUGUGUAAAUCUCACUAGAUACUGAUCUAUCUAUAUGUUAGCAUGUAUAAGUGCAUAAGACCCGAUUCCAUAGAUCGGUCAGCGACUCCACUGCAUCAUGUGUACUAUGGGCGGGGGAGCAGAAUUUGCUGGUUUGAAGACAGAUGGCUGAGGGCUGAUCUGUGGAGGACACAUCUACAGUGCAUCAUCUCUAUGGGACAUACAUACCUCACUUUAAUGUUAUUAAUAAUCGUAUGUAUUAUCAUUACAGUCGGUGGCCACUCUAAUCCCGUGGUCCUCACACACACACACACACACACAAACAGGCAGCAGACUCAGUAAGUGAUACAGAUGACAACCCUCGUCACUCCUUACAGAAUAGGAGUCGCGACCUUGGACCGAACGUCGUUAAGGGGCCGAGUGUGUCUACGUCCUUCUCACCUCCUUUCCUUUUCCUUCGUCUACUAGUUUAAGUGUGCUUGAAAGGGAGAAUGACUCUGAUCUCAUUGUCCCCGAUAUUAAAGGAAAAGAGAAAUGUUAUUGUUAAAUACAGUUUCUUGUCUGUUCUUUGAAAUAGCCAAUAAGAGUCUUCUGUUUUUAUGUGGAACUAUAAAAAUCCUGUAUAGUUAUAAACACACUGUUUGAAUGCAAACUUUUGAAGAGCAAAGAACCAAUUUAAUGCCAUAUGGCUUUAAUGCAACGGUUGAGAUGAAUAUGAGAAGCAUUGAUGAGACCAGAGAGAUACCUGUGUUUUAAGGUUACUCAACCUAUAGGUCCGUUACCGUGUAAAAAUACUGCAUUAUGUAUGAUGUGAUGAAAAAAGUUACUAAAUUGAGAUCCAGAAUUACAGUUUAAAUUUAAAUGUACACAUUGUAUAACUAAUCGGAUUUACCUAAAAAUGCCAAAGACAAUCGUUACAUUAUAUGUUUUUGUCAAUACAAAAAACGUAUUAGAUAUAAGUUAGAUAUUAAGUUACAGAUAAUUAUUGUUAUUUUACAAGAGAUUCAUUUAAGUCAUGAUUGAUUGAUUGAUUCAUGAUUGGCUGAUUGGCUUUUGCAAGACAGCGUCGGGCGAAUAUUUCGAUAUUGGGCGAAAUUGGAUGGGAUUUAUUCGCUUGAAUUUACAUGGAAUCUACUCGCGCGAAUAAUUUGCUUCAUUUUUGGUGUGAACGUACCAUAAGUUUAAUAUAUUUUUUCCAUCACUGGGGUCGUGCUUAAAGCUGGACUU